rnacentral:tRNA from 1 species
GAGACUGUAGCUCAGUCGGUAGAGCAACGGACUUUUAAUCCGUAGGUCGCGGGUUCGAGUCCCGCCAGUCUCA